AUGAAACAUUUGCCCUUGAUGCUAGAAGGAUCGGCCCGGGUGUGGUUGAACCAGUUGGCUCCUGCCAGUAUAUACUGCUGGGAAGACUUGGCCCGAGUGUUCAUUAAAACAUUCGAAGGUACUUGCAAGCGUCCUGCUGGGCUGACUGAAUUGCAGCACUAUGUCCAGAAGCCAAAUGAAACUUUGAGGGAUUACAUACAUCGUUGGACCAUGCUUCACCAUGUGGUGGAGAACAUUACAGAGCAUCAGGCGGGUUGUGCCUUCAAAGAAGGUGUUAGGUACAGAGAACUCAUCCUAACAUUUGGACGAUAUGGGGCCCUGUCCCUGAAUCGAUUGAUGGAGAUUGCCACUCAGUACGCGAAUGGCGAGGAAGAAGAUUGUCUCCGCGGCGGCAAAGGAAAAGCUAAUGAGCAUGACCCCAACAGCAAUAAUCCCAGUCAGAAACAAAAGCGCAAUGCUGAAGCUAUUGGUCAAGCAGAGGCAGCCGCCGUAGCUGCACAAGGCAAGUUAAAAGGGAAAGCCAGAGAGCAAUGGAUACCCAAGAAGAAGAAGGAUCAGUCGGGGCAAGAUGUCCUCGAUCUGUCAUGUGCCAUUCACACCAAGAAAGAUGAGGAGGGUAACCUGAUUUUACCCAAGCAUACCAGUCGACAGUGUAGACCGUUGAUUUAG
rnacentral:rRNA from 1 species